rnacentral:rRNA from 1 species
GCGCACGCUGGCGGCAGGCUUAACACCUGCCAGUCGAGCGGGCACUUUCGGGUGUCCGCGGCGGACGGGUGAGUAACGCGUGGGAACGUGCCCUCUGGUUCGGAAUAACUCAGGGAAACUUGAGCUAAUACCGGAUACGCCCUUUUGGGGAAAGGCUUGCUGCCGGAGGAUCGGCCCGCGUCUGAUUAGCUAGUUGGUGAGGUAACGGCUCACCAAGGCGACGAUCAGUAGCUGGUCUGAGAGGAUGAUCAGCCACACUGGGACUGAGACACGGCCCAGACUCCUACGGGAGGCAGCAGUGGGGAAUAUUGGACAAUGGGCGCAAGCCUGAUCCAGCCAUGCCGCGUGAGUGAUGAAGGCCUUAGGGUUGUAAAGCUCUUUUAUCCGGGACGAUAAUGACGGUACCGGAGGAAUAAGCCCCGGCUAACUUCGUG